CGGCGGUCCGCUAAGUGCGGCACAAAUGCAUGACAAGCGGCUGCGGAAGGCAGUGCGCUUAGGAAGCCCGCCGCGGCGGCACACCGAAACUGAAGGCGUUGAUUUAGGAGCAUUUAGACAGCGGCCGCGGAAGGCGGUGCGCUUGUAGAAAAGCCGCUGCGGCGGUCCGCUAAGUGCGGCACAAAUGCAUGACAAGUGGCUGCGGAAGGCAGUGCGCUUAGGAAGCCCGCCGCGGCGGCACGCCGAAACUGAAGGCGUUGAUUUAGGAGCAUUUAGACAGCGGCCGCGGAAGGCGGUGUGCUUGUAGAAAAGCCGCUGCGGCGGUCCGCUAAGUGCGGCAGAAAUGCAUGACAAGCGGCUGCAGAAGGCAGUGCGCUUAGGAAGCCCGCCGCGGCGGCAUGCCUAAUCGAAGGUGUUGAUUUAGGAGCAUAUAGACAGCGGCCGCGGAAGGCGGUGCACUUGUAGAAAAGCCGCUGCGGCGGUCCGCUAAGUGCGGCACAAAUGCAUGACAAGCGGCUGCGGAAGGCAGUGCGCUUAGGAAGCCUGCCGCGGCGGCACACCGAAACUGAAGGCGUUGAUUUAGGAGCAUUUAGACAGCGGCCGCGGAAGGCGGUGCGCUUGUAGAAAAGCCGCUGCGGCGGUCCGCUAAGUGCGGCACAAAUGCAUGACAAGUGGCUGCGGAAGGCAGUGCGCUUAGGAAGCCCGCCGCGGCGGCACGCCGAAACUGAAGGCGUUGAUUUAGGAGCAUUUAGACAGCGGCCGCGGAAGGCGGUGUGCUUGUAGAAAAGCCGCUGCGGCGGUCCGCUAAGUGCGGCAGAAAUGCAUGACAAGCGGCUGCAGAAGGCAGUGCGCUUAGGAAGCCCGCCGCGGCGGCAUGCCUAAUCGAAGGCGUUGAUUUAGGAGCAUAUAGACAGCGGCCGCGGAAGGCGGUGCACUUGUAGAAAAGCCGCUGCGGCGGUCCGCUAAGUGCGGCACAAAUGCAUGACAAGCGGCUGCGGAAGGCAGUGCGCUUAGGAAGCCUGCCGCGGCGGCACGCCGAAACUGAAGGCGUUGAUUUAGGAGCAUUUAGACAGCGGCCGCGGAAGGCGGUGCGCUUGUAGAAAAGCCGCUGCGGCGGUCCGCUAAGUGCGGCACAAAUGCAUGACAAGCGGCUGCGGAAGGCAGUGCGCUUAGGAAGCCCGCCGUGGCGGCACGCUGAAUUGAAGGCGUUGAUUUAGGAGCAUAUAGACAGCGGCCGUGGAAGGCGGUGCACUUGUAGAAAAGCUGCUGUGGCGGUCUGCUAAGUGCGGCACAAAUGCAUGACAAGCGGCUGCGGAAGGCAGUGCGCUUAGGAAGCCCGCUGCUGCGGCACACCGAAACUGAAGGCGUUGAUUUAGGAGCAUUUAGACAGCGGCCGCGGAAGGCGGUGCGCUUGUAGAAAAGCCGCUGCGGCGGUCCGCUAAGUGCGGCAUGAAGGAUGCUAUGAAGUGGGUGCCUGAACGCCUGGCAAGGAUGCUGGAACGUAUAUGGUCUCACCGCAACUCUAUUGUUCCCUUUGGCCGUAAGUAUACUUCAUCACUUGUCUCGUUGGAAGUGCGAGGUAGGAUGGUGCUUAUAGGCGAUUUGGCAGCCCUUGAGCCCUCAGCUCGUACUAGGGUGGUUUGCAGGUACGGGGAACGCACCCACGACCAUGUAACAAUUGAAGGCGUUGGGAUUUAGGAACAUAUCG
rnacentral:lncRNA from 1 species